rnacentral:tRNA from 1 species
GGAGAGGUGCUGGAGCGGCCGAACAGGCACGCCUGGAAAGCGUGUGAUGGACAAAAUCCGUCCAAGGGUUCGAAUCCCUUCCUCUCCG